rnacentral:rRNA from 1 species
ACCGGCGCACGGGUGCCUAACGCGUAUGCAACCUACCUUUUACUGGGGGAUAGCUCCGAGAAAUCGGGAUUAAUACCUCAUAAUAAGUUUUACCGGCAUCGGUAGGACUUUAAAGCUCCGGCGGUAAGAGAUGGGCAUGCGUGCCAUUAGCUAGUUGGUGAGGUAACGGCUCACCAAGGCAACGAUGGCUAGGGGUUCUGAGAGGAUUAUCCCCCACACUGGUACUGAGACACGGACCAGACUCCUACGGGAGGCAGCAGUAAGGAAUAUUGGUCAAUGGACGCAAGUCUGAACCAGCCAUGCCGCGUGCAGGAUGACGGCCUUAUGGGUUGUAAACUGCUUUUGUCAGGGAAUAAACCCUUGUUUGCGAACAAGGCUGAAGGUACCUGAAGAAUAAGCAUCGGCUAACUCCGUGCCAGCAGCCGCGGUAAUACGGAGGAUGCAAGCGUUAUCCGGAUUCAUUGGGUUUAAAGGGUGCGCAGGCGGACUGAUAAGUCAGUGGUGAAAUCCUACGGCUCAACCGUGGCACUGCCAUUGAUACUGUCAGUCUUGAGUAUAGUUGAAGUGGGCGGAAUGUAGCAUGUAGCGGUGAAAUGCAUAGAUAUGCUACAGAACACCAAUAGCGAAGGCAGCUCACUAAGUUAUAACUGACGCUCAUGCACGAAAGCGUGGG